CGUGUGGAAAUGGAGCAAAGAGACAUUCCCAUUGUUUUUGGCCAUCCACAAAGUAGUGACAACGUAUGAAACUGCAGGAGAGCCCAAAAAAUUGCAUAUGACACUCAAAAACAGUGACUACACUGCUGUGCCAGUAUAGAAUCUGUCUUCACCACGACCCCAAAUUAUCCCUUUGAACUUAUUUCGCUUAUUUGAAAGAAGAAUUUGGUGUUUCAUAAAUUUGGCAUUAGAAGUGAUUCAUCAAACAAACAUUUAACUGCUUCCAUUUGACAACAGUGGUCUGGUUACCUCCUACAGGUACUAGUUAUUAUCUGUGUAAUGUUUCCACGACCAUGUGAAGAACCAAUUGUUAUUGGUGGUCAGGAGUGGCCAGAGUUCUGAAUAUCAAAAUUAAUAAACAAAAUUCAUUUUGGAAAAAA